CAGAAAGACGCACAAAGUUUUUGUGUGAUGUUUUUUCACCGUGGGGACAGGGGGCCACGGUGAUACAAUCCUAUAGAGGCGUCGUACAAAAACCUCCUGUCGUUAACAGGCUGUGUGUCAACGGCUGCAUGAAGGUCAGGACGCCUGUCAGAGCAGAAACAUCUCCCAUCUGAAGGCAGCGUUUGGAGAACGAGUCAGAUGUGUUAAAACUACAAAACAACUGGGACAUUGUGAGGCUCAGYCUGCAUGUUCAAAGCUUCUCCAUCAUCUGGACCACUGAAAUGUGUCAGAACAMGAUGGUUGUGGAAAGUUUGGAGACUUUUUGGUGGAGGAGACACUCAGUGUGACACUGGAUCUGAAGCUUACUUUGGAAAAGGAACAAAACUCACUGUUUUGGAAYAUGACGUGAAACCUCCAGACGUAACUGUUUUUCCACCUUCGGAUAAGGAGUGCAGACGAAACAAGAGGAACCCAAGGAAGAAGACCCUGGUUUGCGUGGCCUCUAAUUUCUACCCGGAUCAUGUGGGUGUGUCCUGGUCCAUCAAUGGGCAGAAAGUCACUGAUGGUGUGCAGACGGACAGUGCUGCCCACUUCAGUGAAACUUCUUACACAAUCACCAGCAGACUCAGAGUUCGGGCAGAAGAGUGGUUUAAUCCCAGUCUGAAGUUCACGUGCACCGUUUCCUUCUAUGAUGGAGAAAAGACCAUCUUUGUUCCUGCCUCAGUCUCAUCAAACAUAGCAGACACAGGAUUGGGUCGAG